GCAGACACAUUCCAGCCAAUCAGCAGCAGACCCUCCCUCCCAGACCCUCCCACCUCCUAGACAGCUCACUAAGAAUGCAGCUUCACAAUGAAUGUAAAAUGGAUGCUGUCCAGGAGGUGGGAGGGUCUGGGAGGGAGCGUCUGCUGCUGAUUGGCUGGAAUGUGUCU
rnacentral:miRNA from 1 species